rnacentral:rRNA from 1 species
UACGUAGGGUGCGAGCGUUAAUCGGAAUUACUGGGCGUAAAGCGUGCGCAGGCGGUUAUUUAAGUCAGGUGUGAAAGCCCUGGGCUUAACCUAGGAAUUGCGCUUGAGACUGGAUAGCUUGGAGUGCGGCAGAGGGAGGUGGAAUUCCACGUGUAGCAGUGAAAUGCGUAGAUAUGCGGAGGAACACCGAUGGCGAAGGCAAUCCCCUGGGCCUGCACUGACGCUCAUGCACGAAAGCGUGGGGAGCAAACAGG